rnacentral:miRNA from 1 species
GGAAUGGGUAGUACCCAAGUGUUGUGACCCAAUGCUUGUCUACCACCCGUUCCAA